GUUUAUAGUGCUGUGAGUUUAACACUUCAUCACUGACACACACAACAAUCUUCAUCAACAUGACCUUCAUCAUCAUCUUCAUCUGGACUCUCACAGCGUUUGCUCAAGAGUGUAGAGGACAGAUCACCGUCACUCAGAGUCCCUCAAUGACAGCAGCUCAACCAGGAGAAACAGUCAAAAUCAACUGUAAAACCAGCAGUGAUGUGUUGAGUAAUGAGGGUGAAUACGCUUUAAGCUGGUACUUACAGAAACCUGGAGAAGCUCUUAAACUCCUGAUUUAUAAAGGAAAUGUCCUCCAGUCAGGAACACCAUCUAGAUUCAGUGGCAGUGGAUCUAACAGUGAUUUCACUCUGACCAUCAGUGGAGUCCAGACUGAAGAUGCUGGACAUUAUUACUGUAUGAGUAUACAUGCCGUCAACAGUCAGCCUGUUCUCACACAGUGA